CAGUCGCCGCGGUAACACGGAGGGUGCAAGCGUUAAUCGGAAUUACUGGGCGUAAAGCGUGCGUAGGUGGUGGUUUAAGUCCGUUGUGAAAGCCCUGGGCUCAACCUGGGAAUUGCAGUGGAUACUGGGUCACUAGAGUGUGGUAGAGGAUAGUGGAAUUUCCGGUGUAGCAGUGAAAUGCGUAGAGAUCGGAAGGAACAUCUGUGGCGAAGGCGACUAUCUGGGCCAACACUGACACUGAGGCACGAAAGCGUGGGGAGCAAACAGGAUUAGAUACCCCAGUAGUCCCUGUCUCUUAUAC
rnacentral:rRNA from 1 species